rnacentral:lncRNA from 10 species
UGCUGGCGAUGUACCUGCUGUGUGGAUCGCCAAGCUGAGGGUCAGGGCCGUGACGGUCCCCGGUCGCAGCACCCGGCGGAGUCCCCACGUGCCGGCCCCUCCUGUGGGCGACGCGAUUCCGCGAUUCCCCCCACCACCCCCCGCACCUGACUCCGCAUGCCUCCUUCAUGAGAAGCUUCCUAGUGCGCUUGAGCCGGUGUGUGGGUAUAGCAGCCCUGUGGUGAGGGGAGGGAAAGUAAGGGUUUUUCUUACUUGACAGAAGAGGAAAUUGAGGUUAGUUAUUAGGUCAUGGCAUAGCCGUGGUCAGAGCCACGGCUGAUAACGUGGAAAGGCGUGCCUGAAUGAAAGGGUGUCUGUCACUCGACACACACCCCACGUCUUUGCAGCCGGGCGGGACCAGGCGGGAGACCUCCGUGCCGCCACCCUCACCUCUCCCACCCCAUACGGCGUGUGCCUGUUGGCCUCUCUUCACGACGCCCCUGCCCCCCGACAGCCUGAGGGUUUGGGGGGAAAUCCAGCAAUGGCUUAAGUCAGGUGACAUAAGAUUCCUCACAACAGACUCUGCUGUUCUGGCCGUACUGCUGAGUGUCUCUGAAACCAUGGGAAGCCCCCAGGGGCCGGCAGAGCUGUAGGCAGUCUGCUGGGGUGGUGGCCUUCAUGCUGCUAUUAACCAGGCUGAGUGUUGACCACAGGUUUUCAACUGGGGCCAUUGCGGUCCCCAGGGAACGUUUGGCAGCGGAGACAUCUCAGCAGACACAUCCUCCACCCACAACGGGGUGCAGGAGCUCCUGGCCUCUGGUGGGUGGAGCCCAUGGACGCUACUCAACACCCUACAGUGCAUGGGACGGUCCCACCACAGAGAGUCGUCCAGCCCCAAAUGUCAGCAGUGCUGAGGCUGAGAGACUCCAUAUAUUGGUCAUCCCCACAUGAGAGACUCUGUCUAUUGGUUAUCUAUGUAUCCAUGUAUGUAUCUACCUAUCCAGGUCCAUCUAUUUAUCUCACUAUCAUCUAUGUAUCUAUCUACCUGUCUAGCCAUCUAGCUACCAUCUAUGUAUCUAUCCAUCUAUUCAUCCGUCUAUCCUGUAUGUAUUUAUCUAUCUAUCCAUCCAUCCAUCUAUCCAUCCAUCUAUUCUAUCUCUCCAUCCAUCCAUUCUAUGUAUGUAUGUAUGUAUCUAUCUAUCUCCAUCUAUCUAUUAUCUAUCAUCUAUGUAUCUAUCCAUCUAUUCAUCUGUCUAUCCUGUAUGUAUUUAUCCAUCCAUCCAUCUAUUCUAUCUCUCUCUCUCUCUAUUGUCUAUCUAUCAUCUAUGUAUCUAUGUAUCUAUCCUAUCUAUCUAUCCAUCUAUCUAUCUAUAUAUCUCUAUCUAUCUACAUCUGUCAUCUGGGUAUCUAUGUAUCUAUCCAUCCAUCUAUAUAUCUAUCAUCUAUGUAUCCAUCCAUUCAUUCAUCCAUCCAUCCAUCAUCCAUCCAUCUAUUCUAUCAUCUAUGUAUCUACAUAUCCAUCCAUUCAUUGUAUCUACCAUGUAUCUAACUAUCAUCUAUCUAUCUAUCUAUCUAUCUAUGUACCUAUCUAUCUCAUCUAUCAUCUAUAUACAUCUAUCAUCUAUCACCUAUCUGUCUCAAUAUCUGUCAAUCUAUCAUCUAUAUCUAUGUAUUACCUAUCUAUCUCAAUAGCUAGCCAUCAAUAGUCUAUCAUCUAAUCUAUUCAUCCAUCUCUCUCAAUAUCUAUCAAUCAUGGAAUAGCUAUAUCUAUUCAUCUAUCUGUCUACAUCGGGCUUAGAGCACGAAGGGCUCACUACUCUGGGAGAGUAGCUUUGAGGAACACCACCAGUGUCCUCACUGCUACAAGCUUUUUGUUUUUCUCUGGCAGCUGAACAAGCCCAGGCUUGGAGAUGAGCCAUAUGAAAACCAGUGAAGCUCAUGCAACUCACAGACGCUCACUCAUGGACCCCCUGCUCCACCAGCCAUAACUACAGCUUCCAUUGCACAAGAGAUUAAUUUCAACCACUUUCUCCUGGUAAGAGACUCUGACAGUGGGCUGGUUCUAGAUGGUUGACAGAGGCUGCACACUCAGUGCCUCUGUGUCCUGGAACAUUUUGACGGCCAGGCUCAGUGGCUCAUGUCUGUAAUACCAGCACUUUAGGAGGCUGAGAUGGGUGGAUCACUUGACAUCAGGAGUUCAAGACCAGCCUGGCAACCAUGGCAAAACCCUGUCUCUACUAAAAACACAAAAAUUAGCCAGGCACAGUGGCAUGUGCCUGUAAUCCUAGCUACUCAGUAGGCUGAAGCAGGAGAAUUGCUUCAACCUGGGAGGUGGAAGUUGCAGUGAGCCGUGAUGACAUCACUGCACUCCAGCCUGGGCAAACAGAGUGAGACUCUGUCUCAAAAAGAAAAAGAAAAGAGACCAGGUGCAGUGGCUCGUGCCUGUAAUACCAGCACUUUGGAAGGCCGAGGUGGGUGGAUCAUGGGGUCAGGAGAUCGAGACCAUCCUGGCUAACAUGGUGAAACCCUGUCUCUACUGAAAAAAAAAAAAAAUUUAGCCGGGUAUGGUGGUGGGUGCCUGUCGUCCCAGCUACUCGGGAGGCUGAGGCAGGAGAAUGGCAUGAACCUGGGAGGUAGAGGUUGUGGUGAGCCGAGAUCACUCCACUGCACUCCAGCCUGGGUGACAGAGUGAGACUCUAUCUCAAAAAGAAAAAGAAAAGAAAAAAAGAAAACACCUUUUGAUAUAGACAGCCUCAAUGUGAUGCAUUAAAUGUUAAAAGUCUCCGCCCCCAAAGUGAACAUGGAACUUCUGUUACACACAUGUUUGUCCUGUAUGCACGUGUGAGGACACCCUUCAUUGAAAUUCAUAGCUCCUCCUGUAACCUGUUCAAUACAAGUAUGUUUGGUUAUCUCACUCAACAUAAAUUCCCAUCUCUGUCUUUUCUCCUUCAAAACGUCUACUUUUAGUCUCUGGAAGAGGCUACAUUUCCCAGCCUGUUAGGUUGUGUCUUUUCUCCUUUGAAACGUCUACUUUUAGUCUCUGGAAGAGGCUACAUUUCCCAGCCUGUUAGGUUGUGUCUUUUCUCCUUUGAAACGUCUACUUUUAGUCUCUGGAAGAGGCUACAUUUCCCAGCCUGUUAGGCUGUGUCUUUUCUCCUUUGAAACGUCUACUUUUAGUCUCUGCCAGAGGCUAUAUUUCCCAGGCUGUUAGGCUGUGUCUUUUCUCCUUCGAAACGUCUACUUUUAGUCUCUGCCAGAGGCUACAUUUCCCAGCCUGUUAGGCUGUGUCUUUUCUCCUUCGAAAUGUCUACUUUUAGUCUCUGCCAGAGGCUAUAUUUCCCAGCCUGUUAGGCUGUACACAACAAGCUCUCCUCUCCAAAUGUGUACAUUUCAUCAUUUUUUUUCCUUUUAAUGAUGAGAUCUCGGUCCGUCACCCGGGCUGGAAUGCAGUGGUGUGAUCAUAGCUCACUGCAGCCUCCGACUCCUGGGCUCAAACCAUCCUCCCACUUAAACCUCUCAAAGCACUGGGGUGAAAGACACAGCCACCUUGCCCAACCAAUCUCGUGAUUUUAAGUCGACACCUUCCAUUCUCUUGAUGGCACCAAGCACUGGCCUUCAACACCAUGUCUACGGAUGGCUAGCUGAGUCCCUUCUGGGACUCCAGACACCAUUCUCUUAGCUGUCUGUGGUCUGAGACUUCUUCCUGAUUGACACCUGGCUUCCUGCCUUAUAACUUCCUUCACAUGAGUCCUCUGGUCAGUCCCAUGUCACUCCCUGACAACACCCAACAUGGCCAGGUGGAUCCUUCUGGAAUUCCAGGUGAGUAAGUGUUGUGCCUUUGGUGAUAUGGGGGCCCACCUGCUCCUCUGCCUUUUCUCCUGGCUCUUUUGUCCAGGGCUCAACACACCAGAUACAUAAGCAAAGAGAAGAGGCUCCCAGGCUGGGGAGGUCUCCUGUCCAGGGUCUCCUCCUUUGUAAGAGUGUCCUGAGGGUAUAGCAAACAAUGACUCCACACUGGGGGGUACUUAAACAACAGAAAUUCAUCAUCUCCCAGUCCUGGAGGUGAACAGUCUGAGAUUAAGGUGCGGGCAGGCCCAAGGUAUUAGUCUGUUCUCACGCUGCUAAUAAAAAUGUACCUGGCAGGGUGCAGUGGCUCAAGCCUGUAAUCCCAGCACACUGGGAGGCUGAGGCAGGUGGAUCACCUGAGGUCAGGCGUUCAAGACCAUCCUAGAGCCAACAUGAUGAAACCCCAUCUCUACUGAAAAUACAAAAAUUAGCCUGGCGUGGUGGUGGGUACCUGUAGUCCCAGCUA